UGGGGAAUAUUGCACAAUGGGGGCAACCCUGAUGCAGCGACGCCGCGUGAGCGAAGAAGUUUUUCGAAUCGUAAAGCUCUGUCCUAUGAGAAUAUAAUGACGGUAUCAUAGGAGGAAGCCCCGGCUAAAUACGUGCCAGCAGCCGCGGUAAUACGUAUGGGGCGAGCGUUGUCCGGAAUUAUUGGGCGUAAAGGGUACGUAGGCGGUCUAUUAAGUCAGGUGUGAAAGCGUGAGGCUUAACCUCAUUAAGCACUUGAAACUGAUAGACUUGAGUGAAGGAGAGGAAAGUGGAAUUCCUAGUGUAGCGGUGAAAUGCGUAGAGAUGAGGAGGAAGACCGGUGGCGAAGGCGACUUGCUGGACUGUUACUGACGCUCAGGUACGAAAGCGUGGGGAGCAAACAGG
rnacentral:rRNA from 1 species